rnacentral:piRNA from 1 species
UNCAAUAUGAUCAGUGCCUUCCACUCAUGCC